UGGCCGAUGGAGACUAUUUAGCAGCGCCCGCCGCUCCUCCCACGUGACCCUCCCGCGCCGGGCAUCCUGGGACUUGUAGUUUUCCGGAGGCAGCAGAGCCCGGAAAGCCUGAGGCCCGCGGGCUGCCGAGACCGCAAUUCCCGUCAGGGAGUGCGCCCUCUAGCUCCGGGCGGAAGACCUGGGAAGGGUUCCGACGGCUGCCGGGCUGCCCAGAGUUUGCUGGUCUGGGGCUGUGCACCCCAGGAGCUCGCAGAGGGGGACGGUCAAAGGAAUCAGGCGUCUCCCUUGACUCCCCUUCUCUCGCCUUGCAGUCGCGACGCCGAGGGGCCGGCGCUCAGGGCUAAUCUCUAUCAGUCACCCUCGAGGCCCCGGGUAAUGUUGGGUGGGUCACAGACCUAUUCUUUCACAAUUUGGAAACGGGAGGGAAAGAAGCACUUUUGUAGCUGACUCACCGCAAUGGCAUGAACAGUGUCUGAGCCUACAAUUGUGGUACCUUCUCUCGAUUUUUCUUCACUUUUUCUUUAUUCAUGAGCCAGGUAUCCUGGAAGCUUGAAGGGAAAGUUUCAAGUCUAGUCUCAAUUAAAGCCCCACUAAUUGACUUGUUCUGCCACCAAUUGGCCAUGGACCUGUACUGCAGGAUGCCUAUUACACACCCAGUGCUGAGCUGUGGAAAAUCCAGAACACACGUGACCACUGACAAUCAUAAAUAGUGGCUUCUCAAAGGGACAAGUUGUGUCAGGGACCUAGCUGGAUGCAUAACAGAUUUUUCUUUAUUCUCAGAUUCAGGCUUCUCUGCUUGGGGCAGCUCCCCCAAGCAAAGAGUGUAAGUAUAAAUUGGGGGAAGACAGAACAUAUGCUUCUUCCUUCCUAAUAUUCCUGACAAAAGUAUUUUGUUUACGUAUUGAAAAUCCUGGGAUGGUGUGAACUCACAGGGAGAGGGCAGGAGGGGACCUUCUUGAUCAAAUGUCUAAGAUAAAGGUGAAGGCUGCAGUAACAAAGAGCCAGCUGAUGACCUUGUUCCUCUUGUAAGGUGCCUGCACCCCUGCCAGGCAUAUGAUCUGGGUGGUUACACUUAUAUGCCAGGAGAGGGAGAGGUGCUCCCCCAAGGGUAUGUGUCAGCAUCCUUGAUGCGGCUUUCCCAAACUACAGCUGCAUGGUUCUCUCCCAACUCAUUCCCACAAAGGUGGAUUCAAGCUGUGGGAAGGUGGAUGUAUCUUGUGAAGUGUUGCUUUUCGAAAAUUCAAAAUAUAUGUUACAUUCAGGGAAGGGCUUCCAUUAAGCCCUAUUUUUAUAUAAUAAUCUAGAAAUAAAUCAUAUUCUACUAUUUGCUUCAAAAAAAGUAAGAAAUGCUUAAGUUCUCUUUACAUUGAUGUCAAAGCAUAGCCAUGAGUUACGCUGUGCAGGAGGCAGGUGUUUGGCAAGGCAGAUUUUUUCCUGACGAAACAAAUAAAAUCCUGGGAGGUAUUUGUUUUAGUAAACCAAAGGGAAAUCCCAUGAGACUCUGGCUUGUGCCUCUGUCUUCCUCAGUGAAAACAGCCUGGGGCCACGCCUGUGUCCUGGGUGGACUGAAUUCGUUCUAGUGAGAUGAUGUGGUAAGCGGGAGAUGCCCCUUGGGAAGGGCAUCGUGUUGUCUACAUGCAGCUGCUUUCAGCCAGU